AUUGAACGCUGGCGGCAGGCUUAACACAUGCAAGUCGAGCGAGCGGCGGACGGGUGAGUAAUGUCUGGGAAACUGCCUGAUGGAGGGGGAUAACUACUGGAAACGGUAGCUAAUACCGCAUACCAUCAGAUGUGCCCAGAUGGGAUUAGCUAGUAGGUGGGGUAAUGGCUACCCUAGGCGACGAUCCCUAGCUGGUCUGAGAGUGUGCACAGCCACACUGGACCGGGGACACGGUCCAGAUUCCUACGGAAGGCAGCAGUGGGGAAUAUUGCACAAUGGGCGCAAGCCUACUGCAGCCAUGCCGCGUGUGUGAAGAAGGCCUUCGGUUUGUAAAGCACUUUCAGCGAGGAGGCGUUACUCGCAGAAGAAGCACCGGCUAACUCCGUGCCAGCAGCCGCGGUAAUAC
rnacentral:rRNA from 1 species